rnacentral:rRNA from 1 species
UGCAGUCGAGCGAGGGCAAUUUCUCCGCAAGGAGAGGGCGUUCCUAGCGGCAAACGGGUGAGUAACACGUGGGCAACCUACCCUGUCGUGGGGAAUAAGCUCGGGAAACCGGGUCUAAUGCCGCAUGUGGUCGCCGAAGGCGUCUUCGGUGAAGAAAGCAGCAAUGCGCGACGGGAUGGGCCCGCGGCCUAUCAGCUUGUUGGUGGGGUAACGGCUCACCAAGGCAAUGACGUGUAGCUGGUCUGAGAGGAUGAUCAGCCACACGGGGACUGAGACACGGCCCCGACUCCUACGGGAGGCAGCAGUUUGGAAUCUUCCGCAAUGGGCGAAAGCCCGACGGAGCGACACCGCGUGUGGGAUGAAGACCUUCGGGUUGUAAACCACUGUCGGAGGGGACGAGAAUGGACGAUACCCUCCAAGAAAGCCCCGGCUAACUACGUGCCAGCAGCCGCGGUGAUACGUAGGGGGCGAGCGUUACCCGGAUUUACUGGGCGUAAAGCGCGUGUAGGCGGCUGGUCAAGCGUGAUGUGAAAUCCCCUGGCUCAACCAGGGAACUGCAUUGCGAACUGGCCUGGCUAGAGUGCAGGAGAGGGUGGCGGAAUUCCCGGUGUAGCGGUGAAAUGCGUAGAUAUCGGGAGGAACACCAGUGGCGAAGGCGGCCACCUGGCCUGUAACUGACGCUGAGACGCGAAAGCGUGGGGAGCGAACCGGAUUAGAUACCCGGGUAGUCCACGCCUUAAACUUUGCGAACUAGGUGUUGGCGAGAUUGACCUCGUCAGUGCCGCAGCUAACGCAUUAAGUUCGCCGCCUGGGAAGUACGGUCGCAAGAUUAAAACUCAAAGGAAUAGGCGGGGGCCCGCACAAGCAGCGGAGCGUGUUGUUUAAUUCGAUGCAACGC